GAUUCCGUAGUGUAGUGGUUAUCACGUUUGCCUCACGCGCGAAAGGUCCCCGGUUCGAAUCCGGGCGGAAUCA